rnacentral:lncRNA from 1 species
GCAAGAAAAGCAUUUUAAGCAUAAAAAAUUAUAAUCGUUCAUUGGUGCUAAUAGCCAUAAAUACAUAUACUAUGUUUUCUAUUGGCAACUAAUAUCUCUAAGUAUGCUAGCUACUCAAUUAUUUCAUAAGUAAUUGGAAUACAUAUGAUUAUAUUAUACCCUCUCAACAACAUUUAAUGCAAAGGCCUUUAAAGCAAGUGCAACAUACAAAACCACUGCAUGUUUGGGAUCCAAGGCAACCUGAAAUUCACAAAAGAAACAAUUUUUAUAUACAAAAGAUAAAAAGAUAAAAACUUUCGUGAUAAAGCCUAUCUAUGAACUUACCAUAAGCUAGCAGUAAUCUUAAACAUCUAUAUAUGGGAUAUGCAUGUGUACUCAUGAUUUUACGAAAAAGUAUACUCAUAAGAGAGAUUUAAAUCUAUUAAUGUCAAAAUAGUAAUCUCAAAAACUUAUCUUGAAAUUCCAACAUCAAGAAUCAAUUCCAAACAUUCCAAAUAGAAAUGUGAUUUUGAAUUGUUUAAUGAAGAUGUAAAUAUUAUUAUGUUAUGCAAACUUUCAGUUUUAAACUAAAUAUAUUCUAAAUCGACAGGAAAAAUAGAAAAUUUUUAAAAAUAUAAAAUAAGAUUUUUUGUAAACCUAGACGUACCUGUAACAGACACACGAAUAUUGCGACUCACAGUAAAUAAUUUCAACGAUAUUGCAGAUGAUGUUGCUUCUGGUGCGUAUGAUAGCUCCGAUACAUAUGAUGGCUCCGGUGCAGAUGAUGGCUCCGACAUCCCUUGAGUUAAUGGGGAAAAAAGAACAAACAUGAAAAUAAUCAUGCACCCCAUGACAAUGGUCUUUCCCAUCUUAAACAAUUGCUCUUCUAUGUAUGUACUUUUCUUUUCUUUUUUCCUUUUUUCUCCUCUAUUUAAGUACUU